rfam:Picoides pubescens contig73544, whole genome shotgun sequence.
GCCGAGACUAGAGUCACAUCUGGACACUGCCUGUUGUCCUGGUGUGCUAGAGUACUCGAAGAGUAACUGCUAAUCUAUAUUCACUGGCUGUGACCAUACUUGACUCAGUCAGUCACCAGGUUAGUGACAAGA